UACGGAGGGUGCAAGCAUUGAUCGGAAUUACUGGGCGUAAAGGGCGCGUAGGCGGCCCGAUAAGUUAGAUGUGAAAUUCCGGGGCUCAACCCCGGAGCUGCAUUUAAAACUAUUGGACUAGAGGUUGGUAAGGGAAAACAGAAUUCCACGUGUAGCGGUGAAAUGCGUAGAUAUGUGGAAGAAUACCGGUGGUGAAGACGGUUUUCUGUGCCAAACCUGACGCUGAGGCGCGAAAGCUAGGGGAGCAAACAGG
rnacentral:rRNA from 1 species